rnacentral:tRNA from 1 species
GCCUCCGUAGCUCAGUUGGAUAGAGUAACCGGCUUCGAACCGGUUGGUCGGGAGUUCGAAUCUCUCCGGGGGCGCCA